GCGCUGCCGGCAGCGCGAGGCCUCCGGUGCACAGUGCGAGGAGGGAGGCUCCGUGUGCGUCCUGAGAGUUCUGUGUUGCAACGGGGCAGUGUGGGGCCUCUCCCAAGGGCACCGUCGCCGUUCGGAUUGUGCUCUGGUGGCGGGUGGAGCACGGCUGCCCCACCCCUCCUGGAGCUGCAGCCUGAGAACCCCUAGGGAGGGGAGCCAAGGAUGUGGCAGCCCCUGGAUCCGGUGAGCUGGGAGGCCCCGGGCAGCAAUUGCACUCGUGCCAGAAGUGGGUGUGUCCUCCCAUUGUCAGGAGAAAGCCGGGCUCCAAGAAAUGGUGCGAUGUGUUUUUCUAAUUCAGUGCUGGCUUUGGUGGUUUUUUGUUGUGACCUUGCUGUGCCUCAUUCCAUAUUUGACCCACUUCAUGGAUGAGAGCACAGCCGGGCGUGAUGGGGAACGCCUGUCCUCUCAGCCCUCGGGAGCCUGAGGCAGGAGGAGCACCCUGAGUUGGGUCGAAAACAGAAUAAACACAGACCAAAACAAACCCCAGAACCGAAACGAAAAAACACCAAAAAUGGAGUGUGGAGGGCGUGCAGAGCUGAGACUUGACCCGGGGGGUGUCCCUCCGCACUCCUCCUUCCCCUGUCUGCCGGUGACCUGUCAGGCAGACCAAACAGGGGACUUGGCAAGGAAUCCCCACCCCAGCCUUUGCCUUGCGUCCACCCUUCAGAAACCCCUUCCUUCUCCAUCCCAGCCCAAGUUGGGAUUGUGGAGCAGGAGGAGCACCGGAACCCAAGGAGAGCCUGGAGUUAACAGUAAGUAUGAGAUUGUCCUCUCAGCUGUGACAGUCACACUGUACGGGCCUGUGAGAUGGCAACGUUAAAGGACGCUGGGAGCGGAGUAUACGGGAACCACCCUACUGUUUUUUGGAACGUCCCUGUAAAUCUAAAAUCCCAUAAUAGAUUUUUAGAACUGCGAGGAAACCAAAGUUCACUUCCUCUCAGCUCACUUUCCAGCUUUCCUAGGUCUUUGCAGGAAGAUCAAAUGCAAGGUCCUUUUUCCUACAGCCCUUUCUGGGUUCCAGGCCUGCUCCUGUGGGGGCCAGCACAGCCGCAGAGCGGGCUCCAACAGUGGUCCCAGGGCCUCCUGGGCGGGGAGGCCAGCCUUCUGCAGCUUGGCCUCCCUGUGUGACUCGGCUCAAAGCAUGACCCCGGGGUGGGUCGCGCCUGACCCGUGUCUGGUUCCCCUGCCAGCACAGUAUUGGAAGAAAAGAGAAUCCAGGGUACGUCACACCCUUGGAGGGGCUGUGUGGGCUCCCUACACAACGUUUGGGGGAGUGGGUGUUGGCCAAGGCCCUCCCACUGCUCCAGGACUCAGGACAAUCGGAGACCUGCCGGAGUUUGCCCAAGGGUUCCCAAUUCCCCACUGUGAUGCAGCAGGAGCUGGAAGGCCUGGGAGGAACAUUGAGCUGGGAAUCGGAUACCUGGGCUCCGGGUGGGCUCAGCCCUCUGCCUGCUGCAUGGCCUCUCUAGAUCCCAUUUUCUGUUUAAAGGGGGUGGGGGCCCUGUAGCUGUAGCUCUGCAGCUGUAGCUCACCUAGCACAUACAAGGUCCUGGGUUCAAUUCCCCAUCAGUGCAAAAAAGGGACCGCCAGGCAAUGUGUAUACUUGUAAUCCCAGCACUCUGGGAGGCUGAGACAGGAGGAUCAAAUGUGUGAGUCAGCCUAGUCAAUUUAGUGACUUAUCAAGACCCUUCUCAGCCAGGUGUGGUCACCCACACCUAGAAUCUCAGCAUUUGGGAGGCUGAGGCGGGAGAAUUGCUGGCUUCCAACUCACAGCAGUCCUCCUCCCUCAGCUUCCCAAGGGCUGGGAUUAUAGGCCUGUGCCACCAUGUCCAACUCAAGACCCUGUCUCAAAAUUUUAAAAAAUAAAACUCUGGAGAUGUAGCUCAAUGUGAAGGUUCUGGGCUCAAUCCCCCUUACAGUGUUGGAAGAAAAGAGAUCGGGGAUGGGCCAGUAACAGGAGGGUGUGUGGUUCCCCAAGGCCCCCCUCCCCCAGGUCACUGGCCCUGAUGUCCCCAGGCGUUCCUUUUUUGGUUUUGGUGGGGUUUUUUGGUACGGGGAUCAAACUCGGGUCCUUGUGCUUGCGCAGCAGGCGGCAAAACCACUGAGCUAAAUCCCAGUUCCUUUUUUGAUGAGUAAGAAACGGUACCUCUGCCUCAGACCCAGUCUUCCCGGCACACCCAGGCCAGCUGUGACCCCAGAAACGAUGGCGCUCCCGGCCUCAUUCCCUGCUGCGGCAGAGUAGCUCAGAGGUCGUGACCCCAUGAGGACCCCGUGCCCAGGCCCCCACCUCACCCUCUGGAAGCUGCGGUCGUCCCUGGGCGUGCUUUUUACUCUCAAGGCCCUGACAGCAACGGGAGGGAGCAGGACUCAGCGCCAGCGCCAGCCUCCACGCACUUCACCCCAGUUCGUCCCUGAAGCCAGAACUGGGGCCAACGCUUCUCUGUCCUGCCCGCGCCUGCUCCCAGUCACUGUCCCACCCAGCGGGCUGGGCCUGCACCGGCCUCCUGCUUUCCACUAUCGAUUCCUGUGUUGCAAGUCAGGUCCCCGCUGGUCCUGGCCACCCACUGCCUUGGGACAGAACCUGGGGCUCCACCGGGCUCCCCUCCCCGCCCUCUGCCCCGCGUUCUUCCCGGGACCGGCCCCUCUGUGCAGUCCCCUGACCACCCCAGAGGCUCCGGUUCCAUCCAGCGCAAUUCCCAGUGCAGCC
rnacentral:lncRNA from 1 species